GCUGCCUCAGAAGGGGGGCAUCCCAGACACUGAGCAACAGUCCUCUGGGGAAGGAAAACACAGAGGUGAUCCAGAUGGAGCCCCCUGUCUUCAAGAGCCUCAGGCCAAAGGAGAGCCAUCAGCAAGUAGACGAUAUUUUUGAAGACAGUUUUAAGAUACACAUGGCCCACAGACACAUGAAGAAAUGCCCCACUUCACUUAUCAUUAGAGAAAUGCAAAUUAAAGCUACACUGAGAUUCCACCUCACACCUGAGAAAAUGGCUGACGUCAACAAACCAGGAAAGGACAGGUGUUGGCGAGGUUGUGGAGAAAAGGGACUCUGCUCCACUGCUGGUGGGAAUACAGACCGGGGCAGCCCCCUUAGAAGACUAUUAAACAAAUAAAAAUGGAAUUACCACUCUUAGGCAUUUAUCCAAAGGACACUGAAACACGAAUUCGAAGGGACAUAUGCACCCCUGUGUUCACAGCUGCACUAUUCACAACAGUCAAAGAGUGGAAGCAGCCUAAAUGUCCAUCCUCAGAUGACUGGAUGAAGAAGUCAUGGCACAUAGACUCCAUGGGAUAUUACUCUACAACCAUAAAAGACAAUUUUGUGUGCUUUGGGACAAAAAUGAAUGGAAUUGGCGGUGAUUACGCUCAUGGAAAUAAGAGAUGAAAGACAACUACUGGAUGAUUUCACUCAUGUGUGGAAUCUAGAGAGCGAAUACACAUGAACUUUCAAAAACAGAAGCAAACAAACUGUUUCUAAGACCUUGUGAGAACUCUAGUGGUUAUCUUUGGGAGGUGGGAGAGCAGGGGCACAGAACUUUGGUGGUGGGUGUGGUGUGGGACUAUAUCCUGAGAUCCUACAUUCUUGUAACCCACUAGUAAUCGCUAAUAAUAACAAUAAAAUAACCACACUACAGGGAAAAAGAAUUGGGUAAAGCGCCAAUCCCCAGACCGGCGUCACAGCCAGGGAGGUGGCCCAGUGGGAAGAGCACAGUGCCCACAUGUUAGGCCCUGGCUGACCCCUGGCUCGAAUAAGCCAGAGCUGAGUGAUGCUCUAGUCUCUUACUCUCUCUCAUCCAAUAAACAAAGAACUCUCUAAAGGGACUGAGACAGCUCACCCAGUAGAGUGUGUGUGGUUCUGAGUUCAAGUCCUAGCAUCGCAAGCCUGGGGGGAGGUCCAUGGAUGGUGGAGUGUUGCUGUGGUGACUCUCUGUGAAAUAAAAAGAAAGAAAAGGUUAGCCCUGCAGCACAGAAUCAUGCAAUCAUGAGGUCUUAUCUCCACAAAAAUAAAUAAAUAUAAACACUCCACCC